rnacentral:lncRNA from 1 species
CUUAUUUGCCUUUACAUGCAUAUAUAUAUAUUCUAUAUUCAUACCCUAGAUUCUAUAUUCUUUUACCUUUACAUGCAUAUAUAUACGCAUGUGGUUUCAUCAUGUUAUCAAAAUCUCAAAAACCUUUUUAUUUGUGUGUGUAAUGAAGUUGCGAGAAGAACUACAACACGGAGUGCGACAACUGCAGCUGCGGAUCAAACUGUAGCUGUGGGGACAGCUGCAGCUGUUAAUGUGGUGUAAAUCACAUGUAUGCAGGAAAACUGGUGGAAAAUGUGUUUGAUGUUAAGAGAGAUGUGUGUGUGUUUGAAUAAAGAUUUGGCAUAAUAUGUUGCGUAAUAACUCUCUUAACCUUGACUUUUUCCUGCUUCUAUGUGUUGAUUGUGUGAUUGUGUAAUGUUUUCAUUUGUAACUUAAAGAAAACCAAAAAAAAAUAUAUAUAUAUUGACUUUUGUGAUUAUAAAGAUUUAUCUAUUCUCCUCUCUCCAUAUAGGGUUAAUCAGCUAAAUGACUAUGAUCCAUGAACAAUUAUUUAUUUAGUAUAUAACCAAAAGGGUAAAUCUGGUUGAUUAGUAUGUGAUGCGUAAUCCGAAUAAACUAGCUUAAGCUCAUCUGAAAUCAAACAAAAUAAAGAAAAAAAAAACAAAUACUAGUAAUUAAAUUAAGUAACCAAUCAGUAAUCAGAAACAAAUAUUAGCAUAAUUGUAAAAAAAAUAUUAUCUUAUUACAAAUUAGCAGAGUUAUUAAUUUCAUCGGAGUCAAUAACAGAAAAACCAAUAUGAAUAGGAAAUGAGGAUACAAAAUACAAGUCCACUAUGUACUUAUUGGGCUUUACACAUUCUGGACCAUCAACAAGCUUUAUAGAUGUUCACGUGCCAGUAAGGUCCCAGAAGAAAGAAACAAUGCGAUCUAUUAUUGCGUUGGUAAGGCAACGAGAUUGUUUCGUUCAGG